ensembl:lncRNA
AUGUGCCCUUCCCUCUGCCCCAAGGGCCUUACAAAGGGAACAUUGGUACUGCUAGCCCUGGCAACUGGCACCACGUGUCACUUCACAUCAUCAAGAGUCACUAAACCUUUUGUGAUGUCAGAAAGCGCUCAGCAGAACUGGGGCCCCACAAGCACAGCCCCCACAAGCACAGUGUCUGCAGGUGCAGGUGCAGGUGCUGGUGCUGGUGCUGGUAUUGGUACUGGCAGUGUUGGCACUGGUGGUAGUGCCCAGUCCCGACAGAUCAUGGAGAAGAUUCGAAAGUUUUUCUGGAGAUUAAGGAAGACACAGAGAAGGUGCAGUGCUCGCGUGCAUCCCAUGGACUGCACAGAGCAGGAAAGCCAGGGAGAAGGCCCUUUGGAAUAUGAAGUCAAGCAGGCAGAGGGCAGUGCAGAUGGAGUAGCAGCGGCAACUUCUGCCCCGCUCCAUCUCUCCAACAUCGAUGGAGCAGCAGUGGAAACUUCUGCCCCGCUCCGUCUCUCCGACAUAGAUGGAGUAGCAGUGGAAACUUCUGCCCCGCUCCGUCUCUCCGACAUAGAUGGAGUAGCAGUGGAAACUUCUGCCCCUCUCAGUCUCACCAAGACGUUUGAAAGUCACUCAAGCUCAGCAAACGAUGCUGAGCAGGGAUUUAAGAAACAAUUUGAGCCCUCCUGCGUAGAAAACCUCUCUGGGAACAUCCCUGAGUUGCCAAAGAGCAAGAAGACCUUGCCUCAGCAGCAGAAGAAAUCCAAUAGGAGACCUCACAGGCAAAAGAGACAACUGGAGCAAUGGGAAGAAAUGCUUGAGGAAAAGACAUUGCUUUUAGAAGCAAGAGAAAAAGCAUUUUUCCAGGCCCAGAGGCAGGCAGAGAAACGUCAUGCUUCACACCUUGCAAAAAAAACUGCAGAGUGGGAAGUUCUGCAGGAACAAGUGGCCCAGCUCCAACGUGAAAACCUUUCACUGUGUCAGCAGCUGGAAGAUGCUCAGAACACCAACCAGAGAACAGUCGGACAGCUCCAACAAGAACUUGCUGAGGCUGUUGGAAAGCAGCACGUCACAGAAGCAUCCCUGAAAACUUCUGCCGACUUACAUGACUCACUGAAGAAAGAAAACUCCAAGUUGCAAGAGGAUGUGGACAAGGCUAAUGCCAAGGUGUGUGACCUUUCUGCACGGCUGGAGUUGGAGUACUCAAAGUUGCUGGUGCAAAAAAGGGCAAAUGAGGAGCUGCGAGUGAAGGAGGCUGUUCUCAAGCAGCGCUUAGAGGUUGUAUUGGAGGAUUAUAAAAUAGCAGCGUGGAUUGAAAAGAGGCGUGAAGAAAAAAUGCAAGAGAAACUUGCCGACAGUUGCAGAAAGCAGUCGGUUUCAGAAAUGUCUCUGAAGCGUUCUGAAAAUCACUGCCGUAACCUGCAAAACGACGUCUUGAUACUGAAGGAAAGCUUGGACAAGGCCAAUGUCAAGGUGUUUGAACUUUCCAUACAGCUGGAGAUGGAACGGCAAAACUCACUGCAGCUAGAAAUGACAAAUCGGGCGCUGCAAGACCUGGUUCACCAACAUCGCCCACAGGCCACUGCAGCGGGCUGCAGCCCAUUCUCAGAGACUGGAAGGUGGCAUGAAGAAAGAGCCCCAGAAGAAAUGGGGCAGAAGCAAGAGCCCAGCCUCUUUUUCCCGGCAGCCUCUCAAAGCAGGCUAGAGGAGAUCAAUGCCAAAGAGGCAAUGUUUAGAAGGCAACAGAGGCAGAGAAUUGCAGCUCUGACAUCAGAAAUGGAGAGAGCCCAAAGCAUGCAUCAGGAGAGCUUGCGGCAAAUAGCACACUGGCAGGCAGAGCUAGACCUCUCAGAAAAACUGUUCCUGGUGGGUGAGGACAUUAGAAGAAGCCUUGCAAAUAAAUAAGACAAUAGGAAAGAAUUAUUAUUACUAUGAGACAGAAGUAAUCCAUUCAGUCUCACUCAUGACGGCGCUUCUUCAAUUUGAGUUUUCACUGGGAGGAGAGAAAUAGUCCUACGACCUUGUGGGAGAAGGCCUAUAAAUACAGCACAGUCUGGAAGCGUGAGAAGCAGAGCAUCUGGCUAAGAAACUCAGAUGCCUACUUCCCUAAAUCCACGAUCCUACUGGCCUGCUAAUGUAGCGUAAGACCUGUGACAACGUGAGCAACAGCAGUUCUCGCACGCUUCUGCUUUUUUCGCAAAACUAAUGAGAGGCCAGCAGAAACCAAGGACAAAGGCCUCAGGAUGACCCACAAAGAAAUUUCUCCAUCGUGAGGCCAAUGACUCUGGGCAACACCAAGAGAAAACAGAGAGGAGGACCUACAU